rnacentral:tRNA from 1 species
GCAUUGGUGGCAUGAAGGUUAAGCACUUGGCUACUAACUGGGAGGUUGGUGGUUUGAACCCACCCCGUGGCU